GAAUGUCAACAUUAAAGAUGAAGAAGAGGAGGAGAAGAUUGGGAAAUCUGUUUCUCAUGGAGACCAUGUUGAGACAGUCUCUACAUCCAGAGAGCAACAGCAGCAGGAAGAUCACAGAGCUAAGAGGUCUCACCACUGCCCACGUUGUAAGGAGAGUUUCUCAAUUCUAUCAAAGUUAAAAAUACACCUAAAAAUACACACAGGAGAGAAUCUGUAUUCCUGUACUGACUGUGGGAAGAAUUUCACAACAUUAAAAUUUCUGACAGUGCAUGAACGGAUACACACAGGAGAGAAGACCUACUCCUGCUCUAAUUGUGUAAAAUGCUUCACAUCGUCAACUAAGCUAAAAAGUCAUCAGAGAACACACACAGGAGAGAAGCCUCACUCCUGCUCGGACUGUGGAAAGAGUUUCUCUCGACUGGGCAACUUAAAAACACAUGAACGUAUGCAUACAGGAGAGAAGCCUUACUCCUGCUCUGACUGUGGAAAGAGUUUCUCUCGACUGGGCCACCUAAAAACACAUGAACGUAUACAUACAGGAGAGAAGCCUUACUCCUGCUAUGACUGUUUAAAAUGCUUCGCAACAUCAACUGAGCUAAAAGUUCAUCAGAGAACACACACAGGAGAGAAGCCUUACUCCUGCUCUGACUGUGGAAAAUGCUUCUCAACAUGCUCUGGGCUUGAAGGUCACCGGAGAACACACACAGGAGAGAAGCCUUACUCCUGCUCUAAUUGUGUAAAAGGUUUCACAUCAUCAACUAAGCUAAAAAUUCAUCAGAGAACACACACAGGAGAAAAGCCUUACUUAUGCUCUGACUGUGGGGCGAGUUUCUCUCGACUGGGCCACCUAAACACACAUGAGCGUAUACAUACAGGAGAGAAGCCUUACUCCUGCUCCGACUGUGGAAAGGGCUUCUCUCGACUGUGCAACUUAAAAACACACGAACGUAUACAUACAGGAGAGAAGCCUUACUUAUGCUCUGACUGUGUAAAAUGUUUCACAACAUCAACUGAACUUAAAGUUCAUCAGAGAACACACACAGGGGAGAAGCCUUACUUCUGCUCUGAUUGUGUAAAAUGCUUCACAACAUACUCUGGGUUAAUAGGUCAUCAGAGAACACACACAGGAGAGAAGCCUUACUCCUGCUCUGACUGUGUAUGCAUACGUUCAUGACUGGGAAAAGUUUCUCUACUGGGCCACCUAAAAACAUAAACGUAUGCAUACAGGAGAGAAGCCUUACACCUGCUCUGACUUUUAAAAAGUUUAUCUCGAAUGGGCCAGUUAAAAAUACAUCAAAUAUACAUCAAAUCAGAAGAGCCUCAUCAGUUCUCAAAGACCAGCUGAGAUUAAAGUCACUCCAUCACUUAAGUCUCGUAAAAGAAGUGAUAACAGUGAGCUGGAUCAAAUAAAGAAAGCGUAGAACAUUUGCAAUCCUAUUGUUUCUCACUGUGAGAGAACUGUGCAGAGGAAAGGGAGUGUUAUAGAAUGUUAGCCUCUUUACCUUACUGAUCUGUGUGCACCUUGCCAGUUUGUGUGUUUUGUUAGCUUCUACAGUAAAGAUAUUGAGAUGACCUUGGAUUUUCCCUUAGGGUUGAAUAUCCUCUGUGAGGCGUCUCACAAUGGAGUGGUUGACUGGUUUGUACUGCUUCCCUGAGCUGGUGGAUACAACAUACACCGAGUGUAUAAAACAUUAAGGACACCUGCUCUUUCCAUCACAUAGCCUGACCAGCUGAACCCAGAUGAAAACUAUGAUCCUUAAAGAUCUAGUUGUUUUGUAUUUAUUAUGGAUCCCCAUUAGCUUUCAGCAAAAAACAAGAAACUGCGGUUGCAAUGGGCUAAGGAAUGAAAACACUGGACACUGGAAAAUUUGAAAAAUAUUGCCUGGUCUGAUGAAUCCCUGUUCCUGCUGUGUCAUGCUGAUGGGAGGACUGGGGUAUGCAGGAAACCAUGAGUACAUGUAUCCCUGCUGUGUGUCAACAUUGCAGGCUGGUGGUGAUGGUGUGGAGUGUGUUUUCAUGGCACAUAUUGGACCCCUUGAAAGAAGUGGAGCAACAUUUGAAUGCCACAGGAUAUCUAAACAUCAUUGCCAAUCAGGUGCCUCCCUUCAUGGCAGCAGUAUAUCCAUCUGUAAAUAGAUUUCUUCAGCAGGAUUACGCCACAAGGCUUGUCCAGAAAUGGUUCCAAGAACAUGACAGUGAAUUCAGUUUACUGCAGUGGCCUGACGAGUCACCAGAUCUCAAUCCAAUUGUUCAUCUGUGGGAGGAGAUGGAAGGAGCUAUUCGGAGUAGAGAUCCACUCCCAGCCACAUUGACACAAUUGUGGGAAGCAUUGGAGUCAACAUGGGCCAGAAUCCCUGUGGAACGCUCUCAACACCUUGGGAGUCCAUGCCCCAUCGACUUGGGGAUUUUCUGAGGACAAAGGGGGCUGCAACUCAAUAUUAGGAAGGUGUUUCAACUGUUUUGUACGCUCCGUGUAUAUCAGAUAAAGAUGAUGUGAUGAUCAGUUUUCAGCAUUAGUUUGGGUGGAUUAUUUUAUAUUACUAAACAACUUUUGUUUAAUGAUAAACAGACUAUGAAUUGACUACUUGUGUUUAUUAAAUUUGAUUUUAAUAUUA